GCAUAUGUGACAAGCCAAAUUUAAGAGGGCACUUAUAAUCAGAUUUGAAGUCUGAAAUAGAUUUAGAGGAAGAAUUAUUUUGCCUACACCAAUCAUCCUUCUCCCCCAAACAGACUAACACAAUAAAAACCAAAAAUAUAGGAGAAGUCCAAUAAUAGGAGAUAAGUUUAUCACAUCAUUAUUAGUAGCAACUAAAUUUCAUAUUGAUAUAUAUGACUUUAGAUUAGGGAAUAAUUCAUACUCUGUGACUGAAAAAUGUAAAUAUUAUGGAAAAGGGAAUAAUAUAUAAUAGUGCAUUUUUCAAAGGAGCAUUGACUAUUUCAAAUAUAGGAUAUUUUUAGUACAUACAUAUAUAACUAUAUAUAUGUUUAAUGUACAAAGAAGUGACUAGAAAAAAUAUAGCAAAAUAUUAAUACUGAUUUUCCUUAGAAUAAUGGUUUUUUAAAAAAUUUUUUUCUUUAUACGCUUGGCUCUUUACCAAGUUGUCUACAAAUAUGCAUGCUUCACUUUUAUAACCAGAAAAAAAAUCAAAAUAUUUAUAUGUAAUAAAAUCAAGGUUAAGCAUUUGGUUCUUGUCCUUUUUUGGGGUGGGGUGGGCUGGGGACAGGAUCUCACACUGUCACCCAGGCUGAAGUGCAGUAGCAUGAUUAUGGCUCACUGCAGCCUUGACCUCCCCGGGCUCAAGUGAACCUCCUACCUCAGCCUCCCGAGUA
rnacentral:lncRNA from 1 species